rnacentral:rRNA from 1 species
UACGGAGGGUGCAAGCGUUAUCCGGAUUCACUGGGUUUAAAGGGUGCGUAGGAGGGCAGGUAAGUCAGUGGUGAAAUCUCCGAGCUUAACUCGGAAACUGCCGUUGAUACUAUCUGUCUUGAAUACCGUGGAGGUGAGCGGAAUAUGUCAUGUAGCGGUGAAAUGCUUAGAUAUGACAUAGAACACCAAUUGCGAAGGCAGCUCACUACACGAGCAUUGACUCUGAGGCACGAAAGCGUGGGGGAUCAAACAGG